AUUUACGGUAUGAAAUAUUGUAUUAUAUAACUGUUCCAUCAUGUUGCUUCAAGGACCCUUCAUUCAAACUAGGAAUUUAAUUUGUUUAUUCUAUGUUGUUAUUUACAAUGGAAUGAUUGAGUUAUAAUGACUUGUAAAAAUUGAAUUAACUUUAUGGAAUUUAGUAUUAUACUGCUAGUUAUUGAAGCAGAAACUUAAGUAGACAAUUUAACCUGUCUAUACAGACCACUUCUACAGUCACCUGUCUAUACUGAACAAUUGUUUUAUUGUUGAACAAGUCUACAGUUCAGGUGGGGUGAAGAGUUGAACCAUUUGCAUGAAAAAUGAAAGAUACUUUCAAACUUAGUUUGGUUUAAUUGUUUUUAACAAAUGUUGAGGGGGGAGGGUGGUAAGUACAUAGAAAUCUACAGUCUGAUAGAAAUACUGUCCUUUAAGAUUUUUUUGAUUAAUCUGAUUUCAAACUUGUUUUGUGUACAUAUUUCUGGAGUAUGUUGUAUAGUGUAAAGAGAUAUAUAUAUAUAACAUGUAUAAAGUGCUUCUCCUUUUGUUACCAGUGGUAUGAAAUCUUCUCCCGUUUUUACCCCUGAUAUUUGUUAUUUAUAGAUGAUCUUUGUUUGUUAUAAUGAUAGUUGUUGAUACCUUACACUACUGCAAAUGACAUUGUCAUCUUUAAACAUAAGUUUAGCAACAGAAUUAGAUUGAUAGCUAUACAAUAUGUAUUUUCACAAAUAUUCUCAUGACUUAUAAACAUGUAUUGAAAUGUUUAUAUGGUAUAUAUACCAUCCAUUAUGUUUGUUCUAAAAUUGUUACGAAUUUUCAGUUAAAGAUACAAUGUUACGUUCAAUAGUCAACUUGUUGCUGACUCCUGUUCAUUACUGAUGUGGAACAGUUUACAUUUUAUAUUUUGUGAUCCUUUUUUAAGGCUUCAUUGUGGGUAAUUGUCGUGUAGGGAUAAGUGCUUGAUUGAUUCAGAUUACUAAAUUAUUUUUUAUUUCUCUUAACUAUCUGCAAGAGAAAAGGAUCUAUCCAUUUAUUUUUUCUUCCAAAGUAGUUAAUGAAAACGUUUUCGGAUGUUUGUCAUUUAAUAAGUCUGUAAGUUUGUAUGAUUUAUUUUAGAUAAGUGACAAGGGGACUUUAGAUUAGCAAGAAAUCCUGGGCUCAGUCUUAGGAUUUUAACACUUGACAAAGGUGCUGAUUGGCCAGAAAUUUGGGUCUACAACCAAUGAUAAAUCUCAACAAUCUUCACAAAUUACUUGUUAUAACUUGUAUGACCUUUGUGAACACAAGACCUGGAAAAUUCAUUACAUGUGAAGCCAGAUUUUGAUAUUUUGAAUAUUUUUGGAAAAAUGACAAUGAAAUGAAAAAUUAUGCUUAAGCUGCCAUUUCCCUUAAAUACAAAUAGUGGAUGUUGUAAGGUGAAAAUAUAAUGUCAGAAAUUAAUGGUAAUUUGUUGUUUGUAUUGAAAAUAAAAUCAUGUUGAACAAAAGGUUGUUAAGAAAAUACUCAGUUUUAUCAUCAUACUUUACACUUGGUAUAUUAUACUGUUGUUAAACAGGAAAUUUUACUUCAUGAAUUAAUGUCAAAGUAAAAUAGAAAUGAGAUGUGUUACAACGUUAGUCAUUUGUUUUAGAAUGGUUAUUUUAUUAACAUUUUCCUGAAGUCAUUUCUCUCUUUGAAAAGAAAAUUAUCAGACUUUUUUUGAGUGCUAUAUAUUUUGUAAAUGUAACCUGGGUCAUUCAAAAAUUCAUGUUCAGUUUGUCUUGUACUUGAUGUGAAUAUAAAGAUUCAGGAAACUAUAAUAAUCUAAAGUUUUGUAUUUCAUGAUGGUUUAUUGUUGGCAAGCAGAAUUAAAAGACCUCUUUUAUCUAAAAAAUAUGAUCUCCCUUCUGUUUAGUGCAAUAUUUUGAUUACUCUGUAAUACAGAAUGGCUUUUUAGUUGUUUGUGUUUUAGAUUAUCUCCCUUUAGUAAAAUGAGAUACCUUCAUGAUGAUGAUUUUUUUUUUUAUAUCAGAAUAUAAUAUUAAAUAUUUUAGAUUAUCCACUUUCAGUAUAUCCUCAGAAUAUGAUGUUAAGAUGUUUGUUUUAGGAUUAUCUCCGUUCAGUAAAAUGAGAUAUCUCUUGACAGAAUAUAAUUUUUAAUUUGUCUUUUUAGAUUAUCUUUGUUAAGUUGAAGGUGAUACCAUAUGCGAGGUGUGUGAGGACUUGAAUUAAUUUUUUGUCUUCAACAAACACAUAAUGAUAGAAUAUAGUUUCUUCGUUAUUUAGUUAAGACACAAAAUCAAUUUUGAUACAUAUAUUAACCCCCAGUUUGUGGCUUUUAAGAACUUUCACUCCGUUAAAAAGUAAAAUAACAAAAAUACCGAACUCCGAGGAAAAUUAAAAACAGAAAGUCCCUUAUCAAAUGGCAAAAUCAAAAGCUCAAACACAUCAAAUGAAUGGAAAACAACUGUCAUAUUCCUGACUUGGUACAAGCAUUUCCUUAUGUAGGAAAUGGUGGAUUAAACCUGGUUUUACAGCUAGCUAAACCUCUCACUUGUAUGACAGUUGCAUAGAUUUCCAUUAUUUUGACAACAAUGUGUGAACAAAACAAACAGACAUAAUAGGUAAAGAUUUCAAAAAUUAGGGUACAGCAGUCAACAUUGUGUUUUAAUCUUAAUCACUAUAAAAACAAAGAACUAUUUCAACAAAGAAAAACAAAAAUGGCAUAUAGACACUUUAUAGACAUAGUACUACAGCAAAAAUGAAAAGACAAGAAUACAAAAUUGACCAUAGCACAAUAACACAAUGGCGGCUUCAUUUGUUAUAUGCCCAUUCAAACUUUGAUAAUCCUAUUUUGAGGAUUUUUUAUUUACUUGUUGCAAUAUCGACCAAUUUUGUUUGUUGUUAUUAUACUCUAAUAAUUUUAAACAUAAAUUUUUUUCCUAGCAUAAAUUACAAGGUAUAACUGAACUUGAAUUUGGUUGACCAAAGAAAAUUUAAAUGAUGUAAAUAGUGAAUAUAUGUAUCAUAUGUGUUGUGUACCAUUCAUAGUGUAUAUAUGUAUACAUGAUAUGUGUAAUGUACCAUUCCUAUAUAAUUUUUGUGAAUUUGUUGUAAAUAUUGUAAAUAUUUGUUUAAAACACAGAUCAUCCAUGUUUUGAAUAUACAAAUAAAUUUUUAAAUAUAACUGGAUAAGAUAGGAUACAGUAGAUUUAUUCAUGACAUAAAAUUCUUACAUUUACUUGAUAAACCAAAGGAACAGUGCUAAUAUUGCUAUUCCUCAUCUUAAAGUCCCAAUUUGUGUUUAUACUAUAAUGUUCCAACUUUUGAAAGUUUUAAUUAAAUUUAUGUCAUAAUUCAGCCUACAAAACGAUUUUAAUUUACAGACUAAUCCUGGUAAUUAAAUCAGUCUGAUUGACUGAGCUCUGUAAGAUAGUUCACCCAAUGAUUAAUAAAUGACAAUUUUUAUACACCUGUUUAACUCUUGUUUUUGACUUUUUGUCAGAUAAUUGGAAUCCUCUAUUUAUCCAUUUAGUGCAAAUAAAAAUUUUGCCCGCUAACCCCUACUUUUCUUUUCAUAAUUUUAUAACAUAUAGUUUAAACAGCCAUUUUUGAUAAUCUUAUUAAAUCUUUGUUAUUUUCUCAUAGUUUUUGAAGAAAAGAGGUGUCAAUGUUAAAUGUAUGAAAAAUCUAGAGAGAAUCAUUUCCUGCCAAAUUUUCAAUGGCUUAUAUCUCAAAAAUAAGGACAGUGACCCUGGUAUUUUUCUUGGUUUUUCUAGUCCCAUUAUUUAUAUACUAUCAAUUUAUAACAAUCAUUAAAAAGCUUGUUAUUUUGAAACAGAGUAGCAAACAUCCUUAAAGACUUAAAAAAUCUGACACAUUUUCACUUUUCAAAGUUUGGUUGGCAGCAUUGCUAAUGUAUUCCACAUACAUUUUUUUUAACUUGACAGAAAAGGAAUUAAAAAAUAGGGACCACAAAAACAACUGAAAGCUGAUUGUUAAUAUUCCUAUCAAAAUUUGCUAUCUUUCUUACCUCUGAAAUCUCUUAUUUCUGAAAUCUUACUGUAGCUGGUAAGAUACAUGUAUGUGUAUCUUGCGCAUCCAGUAUGCAUGCACUGGUUCACCAGGAUUAAACUUGCAUAGAACUUCAUCGGUAAACAGAAAUAUUAAUACAACAUGAUUUUAAAUCUUAAAGAGAGUCGAAAAAUAACAAAGGGACAUUCAAACUCAUAAGUCUAAAACAAACUUGACAGCGCCAUGGCAAAAAAAAGAAAAAAAGACCAAAAGACAAACAACAGUAUAAAAAACACAACAUUAAAAAAAUAAAGACUGAGCAACAUGAACCCCACCAAAAACCAGGGGAUGAUCUCAGGUGCUGCAGAGGGGUGAGCAGAUCCUGCUCCACAUGUAAGUGCAAGUACAAACCCUAAUUGUAGAAUUUUAAGAGUUUUAAGAAAACGAUUUUAUUACAAAAAUAUAUACAAAGUCAGCUAAGAGGGAAGAUUUAUGUGACAAAAUAUGUAACGAUCUGCUUGUCAGAAUCACUUCACCACCAAGCCCCUCUUUGUCAUUUUAAGACAUAAGUUCUUUAAAUUGGAUAACACAAAACAUAUUUUUCUCCAACAUACAACCCUAGAAAAAUAAAAUAAUAGCAUAGUCUCGGCCAAUAAUAUUGACCUUAAUCCCUUUUCAUAGGUAUCAUUUGCAUCAUAUACAUUUAUUGACCUUCACUUUUCUGAUAUAAAAGCUGACAGAAUGCUCCUCUCUUCCCAUUAUUAAAACAGAUGAAAAAAAUGGUGCUACAAUUAGUUAUAUAAACUACAUCCCUUUUUACAGAAAACAUCAUAAUAUAAAUUUAAAGGCUCUCCUGUCUGAUAUUAUAGCCAACACAUUUUUUACAGUUCAAAGGUUUUAUGGUGUCAAUAUUUAAAACAUGGAUGAUCUUAUCUGUGUCUGUGAUAGAACUCUCCUUCAUUAGAGGUACAAAAGUUCAUGUGAUCUCUCUGGAGAUAAUAUUUGUAGAUAAGUAGAAUUGUUAAGCUUACAUAAUACAUGUUAUAUCUUUACUUAUUUGUAAAGAAUAAAACAACUUAAAAAUGUG